rnacentral:rRNA from 1 species
AGGGAAUCUUCCGCAAUGGGCGAAAGCCUGACGGAGCAACGCCGCGUGAGUGAAGAAGGAUUUCGGUUCGUAAAGCUCUGUUGUUAGGGAAGAAUGAUUGUGUAGUAACUAUACACAGUAGAGACGGUACCUAACCAGAAAGCCACGGCUAACUACGUGCCAGCAGCCGCGGUAAUACGUAGGCGGCAAGCGUUGUCCGGAAUUAUUGGGCGUAAAGCGCGCGCAGGUGGUUUAAUAAGUCUGAUGUGAAAGCCCACGGCUCAACCGUGGAGGGUCAUUGGAAACUGUUAAACUUGAGUGCAGGAGAGAAAAGUGGAAUUCCUAGUGUAGCGGUGAAAUGCGUAGAGAUUAGGAGGAACACCAGUGGCGAAGGCGGCUUUUUGGCCUGUAACUGACACUGAGGCGCGAAAGCGUGGGGAGCAAACAGGAUUAGAUACCCUGGUAGUCCACGCCGUAAACGAUGAGUGCUAAGUGUUGGUCUCAUAAGAGAUCAGUGCUGCAGCUAACGCAUUAAGCACUCCGCCUGGGGAGUACGACCGCAAGGUUG